GGCAGCACAUAUGCUAAAUAAAAAAAAUGGAAUGAUACAGACAAGAUUAGCAUGGCCCCUGUGCAAGGAUGACAUACAAAUUCGUGAAGUGUUCCAUAUAAAA